rnacentral:rRNA from 1 species
AAAGUGGAGCAAUCCAUGAGUAGAGUGGCAAACGGGUAAGUAACGCGUGGGCGACCUACCUUCGAGUGGGGGAUAACAUUCCGAAAGGAGUGCUAAUACCGCAUGACAUCCCGUGUUUGGAUACACGGACAUCAAAGCCGGGGAUCGCAAGACCUGGCGCUUGGAGAGGGGCCCGCGUCCGAUUAGCUAGUUGGCGAGGUAACGGCUCACCAAGGCUUCGAUCGGUAUCCGGCCUGAGAGGGCGGACGGACACACUGGGACUGAGACACGGCCCAGACUCCUACGGGAGGCAGCAGUGGGGAAUUGUUCGCAAUGGGCGCAAGCCUGACGACGCAACGCCGCGUGGAGGAUGAAGACCUUCGGGUCGUAAACUCCUUUCGACCGAGAUGAAUUCUCGCCGACCUAACACGUCGGCGGGGUGACAGUAUCGAGGGAAGCAGCCCCGGCUAACUCCGUGCCAGCAGCCGCGGUAAUACGGGGGGGGCAAGCGUUGUUCGGAAUUACUGGGCGUAAAGGGUUCGUAGGUGGCUCGCUAAGCCAGACGUGAAAUCCCUCAGCUUAACUGGGGAACUGCGUCUGGGACUGGAGAGCUCGAGUGCAGGAAAGGAAUGCGGAAUUCCAGGUGUAGCGGUGAAAUGCGUAAAUAUCUGGAGGAACACCGGUUGGCGAAGGCGGCAUUCUGGACUGCAACUGACACUGAGGAACGAAAGCCAGGGGAGCAAACGGGAAUUA